rnacentral:lncRNA from 10 species
CAGGAAGCUGGAGACAGUUCCUGUGAUCCCACUUUGGCCAAAAGUGAAGUCCUCCCAGUGGUUUCAUCAGGUGGACGGUGCAGGAAUGACGGCGUUGCCUUCACAGACAAGGACCUGGCACUCUGAGAACGGAGCAGCCUGCCUGUGCAGUUAGCCCCAGGCUCCCAUUUCAGGGCCCUUUCCACUGGAGAAGUCUCCUCAGCUAUGGUUCUGGCCAAGAAGAUGCAGUGGGAAGCAUGCUUGGAGCUUUCGGAGAGAGUUUUCCUCCAAGGUUAAAGGACAGGGGUGUGAGAAGGAACAUCUUUCAUCUUUUCCAACCUAUGCUCAUCCUUCUACCUGAGAUGUUUCCAUGUGAGGAUGUGAUAUUUGCAGCUGCAGAGGCCAUCCUGUGACCACGAGAAAAAAGGCUGAAAGAACCAUAGACACUGAUCAGACUGUCGAACCAUUCUGGAACAGGCCCCCUCCAGAUGUCUUGUUAAAAGAGAGAUCUAAAAUGUCUUCCUUACUUUCAGGUAUUCAAUUACUUGCACCUGCAUCAAUUAGAAUUAGAUUUGACUGUGAUUAAUAGAAAGCCCCAAAAUAACAGUAGCUUUUGCAAGAUAGAGGCUCAUUUCUCUUUCAUGUAUAAGAAGUCUGAAGAUAAGCAGCUCAGAGUGACAGGGGCAGCUUUAAAGUCAUCAGAGAACCAAGCAUCUUUUGUCUCACUGCCCUGCCAUUCUUAGCAUGUGACUUCCACUCACAUGGCUCAAAGAGGGCUGCCCAGGCUCCAGGCAUCACAUUUGCUUUCCAGAUAGCAGGGAGGAGGAGAGGUGGAAGAAAUAUCCCCCUCUUCUUUUAAGAACACCUCCCAGAAACUCUUCUGUCUAUAUCCCAUUGACUAGAAUUUAGCGACAUGACCACAUCUGGCGGUAAGGGAGGCUGGGAGCUACAUUUGUCCUGGGCAGCCAUCAACCUAACCAAAAGGGGGGAUUCCAUAGAUAAGAAAGAAGGAUAUUUGAGAAAAUAAACAGUCUCUUUCAUACAAUUGAGGCCAUCCUAAUUAAUUCAGAAAGAUAAUGUCUCUGAUGAAGAAGGGAUAGGAGUUAGCCAGGACAAAAGAAGGGAGAGCAGUGUCCCAGGAGCAACAGUUUGCACACAGGCCUAGGAGUAAGACAAAGUGCCAUAUAUUUGGAGAACUGAAAGAAAUCCUGUGACUAGAUGACAAAGCAAGGUGGGUGGGCGAUGAGGUGGGAAGGCAUUAAGAGAGCAAGAUUCACAGGGCCCUUACGUAACACCGCCCUAAGGAACUUGGACUCGGAGACCCACUGGAAGGUGUUUGGCAGGAAAGCAACAUGGCCAGGGUUGCAUAGAAAGCACAUUCUGGUAGCAGGGUGGAGGAUGCUUUGGGCUGGAAGAUGGUAAGAUUGGAGGCAGGGAGACCCAGUGGGAAGCUCCUGGAGGCCACUAGAGAGGGAAUGUUGGCCUGGGCAGCACAGAGGCAGAUCCCAUCUCCACUGGGAGACAGGUGAGAGGUGGUGGAGAGCAGUGUUACUCAGAGAGCUUGUCUGCAAUGGCAUUCAAAGCUUGCACUAGAACCUGAAUCGAUGCAUUGCUGCCUUCAUCAAGAGUGUCUUGUGAUACAAAUUAUGGGCAUGCGUGUUUGUGUGCAUAUAUAAGCUGAAUUAAAUAUGUG